UUAGUUUUAUCAUCCAACGAUCACCUGAGCGAUGGAAGUGAAAGUGAAGCAUCUCGAUCUCUCACGAGGUGACGCAGGGAAGGACUGACACGAGAGUAAAAACUGCAGGUCUGCAGCAUUCACUUCUCCUGUCACCUGCUAAAUACCCAACCUACCCACGGAAUGCAGCAACAACUACAGCACUGCCACUGCACUCAAUACCCUCACACGCUAAAGGCCAAGCAGGGGCAACCGGGCCAUUUCAGGCCCCGGGCCGACGUGUCAGUGCCAUGUCGGAUAACGUCAAAGAAUAGGCACGACCACGCGGCAUGCCACGCCCAUUCCGUCGCGCCACGUCAGCGCCCCGGAUCCCUUUAAAACCUGGCUCCCCUCACUUCGUCUUCUUCAAACAGAUCGACACCGAAAAAUCGAAGCACAAAAGGGAGAAAAAAAAAAGAAGAAAAAAAAGAAAUCGAACCCUAGCCGCGCCGAUCGGACUCAGUGAGACACCGACGAGGAGGGCUAUGCGUGACGCGAUCCUCGGUGAGCCGGAUCCCCCCCCCCGCCGCCN
rnacentral:lncRNA from 1 species